rnacentral:rRNA from 1 species
CCUGAGAAACCCAAAAGUUCGAAUGGGGAGAUUCAUCGUCAGCUCAUYUUGUAUGUGUAUUGGUUAUGAUAUGAGUUACUACUUGUAGUACAGCUUGUACGUACUUKUACAUUUUUUGGYAARAUGUUGUCGGCGUGCACUUCUCCCCURGUAGGACAUCGCGACUCGUUGAGUGUCGGUYUAUGACCCRGGUGUSAGYCUUUGUUGUUUAAUAACAUUAAAGAACCUUGGUGUCUUCUGACCGACUGCUCGGCGGUACUCAUACGGUAUUYAGCCSCAUUUUGUGUGCGUCCAUGRCCGUCGCAAGCAAARCUAUYUACUGGUAGUACGGACYUCGUGCCGUCACUGGUGUUAGUUGGGYUGUUGGYUGUUACGGUUUUCUAGGACUGGCUUAAAAAAAAUGAUUUGSCGGKCGGYGAUGCUGCUUCUGUGRCUUCUUUGACGACCCUUCUAGAAACACCGACGAAGGAKUCUAACAUGUACGCYAGUCAUUGGGUGUUUUUUUUCAAUAAUAAACCUAAAGGC